AAAAAAAAAAAAGGAAAGCCACACAAAAGCACACAGAGAGAUCGAGAAACAAGGAAGGUGGAAAGAAAGAUUCUCUCUGGGCUAUGUAUAGCAAGGAUCCUCGCAUACUUCAUACAAUAGACAACCUUGCAUUAGGAUCACAGGGCAUCAUGUUUGCAUCUUUUUGGCUGCUCCAUGAGCAUCAACCUGUGGAAAUUGAAGCUGCUGCAGGAAAUGGGAAGGUAUGUUCAACUUAAUGCUACAACACGAUUUUCACUUUCUUGAUGCUAAAGGAUGAUCUACUCAAUGGUGUGAUACAACUAUGGAAUAUCUGAAGCCCUCUAAGCCUGUGUUAGCUGAAUCCUGAUGCUGUAAAGUCUAAGACUGGAAAUAGAUUUGGUGGUCAGGACCAAGCAAUGCCGUUUUGCACUAACUCACAAAUCCUAUUGGAAAUGAAAGAAUUGGUACACAAAAAAAGAGAAAGUGCAGACAAAAGGCAUAAUUGGGAAGAUUCCUAUGUUGCAGGUGAUGUUAGAAGGUCUGUCUUUCUCCGUGGUUUUGUAACCCUCACAUGCAUAAGAACCACCUGAGGAGGGAGAGUGUACUUAUUUGAAAUGCAUAUCUGGAGAUAUCUCUUCCAGAGAACAUCAUUUUGUUGGAGUGGGUGGAGAGUGACAACCAGGAAGAUUCUA